GAUGAAGAACGCAGCGAAAUGCGAUAAGUAAUGUGAAUUGCAGAAUUCAGUGAAUCAUCGAAUCUUUGAACGCACAUUGCGCCUGCCAGUAGUCUGGCGGGCAUGCCUGUUCGAGCGUCAUUACAACCCUCAGGCCCCCGGGCCUGGCGUUGGGGAUCGGCGGAAGCCCCCUGCGGGCACAACGCCGUCCCCCAAAUACAGUGGCGGUCCCGCCGCAGCUUCCAUUGCGUAGUAGCUAACACCUCGCUACUGGAGAGCGGCGCGGCCACGCCGUAAAACACCCAACUUCUGAAUGUUGACCUCGAAUCAGGUAGGAAUACCCGCUGAACUUAAGCAUAUCAAUAAGCGGAGGA
rnacentral:misc_RNA from 1 species